AAACAUAUUUUUCGAAUUUCAAGAGAACGUCGGGAUAAUAUUAACUGUAGGUUUUCUCCGAGGUUUUUUCAGAGAAUAUUAGGAUCGUGUUUCAGCUUUCUUUGAACAUACCGAUCCGGACCCUAAUAAUAACUAACGAUUCAUAGCAUGAGAAUAAAGUACUAGUGCAUGCGCACAAUUCAUAAAUUGUAUAAUGAAAUCACUCGACGCGAGCGUUCAGUAAGGUACUUGGGUAUUAUAAUAAUUGAAUUACCCGCGGAGUAA